GGCGAGCAAUGCCUGAAGGGAAAGAAACUAUUUCUGUUCGGAAGGCCCAGGUUGCAUCUAAAAAUUUUUCUAUUCAUCUACAUGAUUAAAAAUCAAAUUUUUAUCUAAUUAGUAGUGAAAUCAGAGAUCAAAUCUUAAAUUAUCUGAAGUAAAUCUUUGCAGAUGUCGAGAUGUGUAGACCCUGUACUUCGCAUGCACGUUAGACGCCGC
rnacentral:lncRNA from 1 species